rnacentral:tRNA from 1 species
GCGCCCUUAGCUCAGCCGGAUAGAGCACGCGCCUUCUAAGCGCGGGGUCGCUGGUUCGAGUCCAGCAGGGCGCGCCA